CAUUGUUGAGGUUGGGCUCCCUGUCUCAAAUCGUUCCAAGUGCAGCGUAUCAAAAUCAUCACAAUAAAUCAAUAGCCACUUAACCAUUAUUGACAAUGAAAUAGAAUACAAAUGCCUGCCCAAAGGGUAGGUUGUUAUCCGCAUUUCCUUCCAAAUAAAAUUUGCUUCCAUCCACAUUGUCAUUGCGUUGGUAAUAACAUAAUGGCGAUUUGGUGGAAGCACCGGUUUAAUUAGACAAUGGAAAUGCACAUUGAAAGUAACCAUAUAUUAUGUAAUACUUAAUAAACAAGAAAACUAACCCAAACAAAGGCCACCCACUAAAAUAUAGACAGAUCAAAAGUCACAAUUCUCCACUGCAUAACUACAGGCCUCUCUAAUAUAAUUUAAAAGGAAAAAUACAUAUAAUAUAUUAUAAAAAAAGGGCUAAUUCCAGGACAGGCACGACUCUAGAGUAGGAAAGCUCGAAUAAGUGUCAAAGUCUAGCGCAGCAUGAGGCCCGCCAUCAGAUACCACGGGUUGUGGAAAAGAAACUGUCCCGGACCCAUUAACGGGUGCAGAGACCGAGCCAGAGCCAGAGCCCGAGCCCACAAUCGUUUGCUGUUGCUCUUCAUGAUGAUGAUCCAGCAUAAACGCCGACGUAUCUAAGGUCGGCAAGCACCCUCCAGCGCCAUUCAACCGGUUACCAGGUCUCUGUGGCUCCGGCUUCAGCACUGGUAUGGCAGGCAUCUGAGCGUUACCAAAUCUAACGCCGGUAACCUGUUGCACCAUCUGCCUGAAGCUGGCCGGAUCAGCUGUUAUGAACGUGGUCUGAGAGCGCUUAGUUGCACGAGACUUCCGUUUCGAAACUUUGAAAGGAGCACCUAGUAUCCCGAUCCCGUUUCGCUGGCGCUUGGGAGCUGCAGUUUCAGGGUCAGAACCCGAAAAGUUAGAAGCGGUAGGAGUAGCCGGCGGUGGGGUUUGGGAGCCCGAAACGAGGUUGACUAAGAAAUCGGGAGAGAGCGUUUCAGAAAUGGAGAAGGAAGAAGUAUAGUUAAUAUCAUUGGAAAAGGUUUUCUGGAGAGCUUUGGUUAGAGCAUCGGUGUCGCGAGCAUAAGCUUCAGCAAUCCAUGAGUCAGUAAAGGUGGGUCUAAAGAGAAAUGGUUCAAAACUGGCCAAAUUCUCCGAUGAUGCCAUGCUUUUUGCAGAUUUAUCCUAAAAACUCUUGUCAGGUUAGAAGCAAAUAACAAGAGAUGGUGAUGUUCAAAGCAUUUUCUGAAACUGGAGGCAGACUUGGAAGACACAGUUGGCGCUUUGU
rnacentral:misc_RNA from 1 species